rnacentral:rRNA from 1 species
CAAGAGCGUAUAUUAAAGUUGUUGCAGUUAAAAGCUCGUAGUUGGAUUUCUGGUACAACGCGCCUGGCCCGCUUUUGUGAGUGCCGGUGCGCGUUUGCCAUCCUUCUAGAAAACGUUUCUACCCGGGUAACUGGGCCGGACUCGCGAUCUAGAUCUUUUACUUUGAAAAAUUAGAGUGUUUAAAGCAGGCUUUUGCUGUGAAUACAUUAGCAUGGAAUAAUGAUCUAGGACUUCGGUUCUAUUUUGUUGGUUUCUAGUACUGAAGUAAUGAUUGAUAGGGAUAGUUGGGGGUGGCUAGUAUUGGCCGGCCAGAGGUUGAAACUUCUUGGGACUUCGGGUCAAAUGA